rnacentral:misc_RNA from 1 species
GAUGAAGAACGUAGCGAAAUGCGAUAAGUAAUGUGAAUUGCAGAAUUCAGUGAAUCAUCGAAUCUUUGAACGCACAUUGCGCCCGCCAGUAUUCUGGCGGGCAUGCCUGUCCGAGCGUCAUUUCAACCCUCGAACCCCUCCGGGGGGUCGGCGUUGGGGAUCGGCCCUGCCUCUGGCGGUGGCCGUCUCCGAAAUACAGUGGCGGUCUCGCCGCAGCCUCUCCUGCGCAGUAGUUUGCACACUCGCAUCGGGAGCGCGGCGCGUCCACAGCCGUUAAACACCCAACUUCUGAAAUGUUGACCUCGGAUCAGGUAGGAAUACCCGCUGAACUUAAGCAUAUCAAUAAGCGGAGGA